UUGAAAUUCACAUGAGUGAGGAGCUGAUGCAGGGAAUGGCCACAAUCAUGUGUGUGGCCAACAAGGGCUUCCCCUCAGACUGGAGUCUGUCCUGGAAGGUGGAUGGCAGUGGCAGCAUCAGCUGGGAGGAGAGCAGGAGCCCCGUGGUGCUGCAGAAUGAUGGCCUCUACAGCUGGAGCAGCACCCUGAGGCUCCCUGCAGACCGCUGGAUGAAGGUGGGCUCUGUGACCUGUGAGGCCACCCAGGGCUGCCAGACUCUGGUCUCAGAGCCACUGAGGAGAGACCAGUGUUCCCAGUCCUGACCUGACUCUGAUACUGG